rnacentral:rRNA from 1 species
UACGGAAGGGGCAAGCGUUGUUCGGAAUCAUUGGGCGUAAAGGGCGCGUAGGUGGUUCUGUAUGUCUACCGUGAAAGCGUACGGCUCAACCGUAUUUUGUCGGUAGAAACUGCAGGACUUGAGGCUGGGAGGGGCUGGUGGAAUUCCCUGUGUAGCGGUGAAAUGCGUAGAGAUCUGGAAGAACACCAAAGGCGAAGGCAGCGUCCUGGGAAGCAUCUGACGCUCAGGUGCGAAAGCUAGGGGAGCGAACGGG